UUAAAUAUGUCUUGAUAUGUUGCCUACUUCCACAGGUGUUAACUCAAGAAUGUAUAUUUCCUGAAAACGAUCCUGAGCACACAGCAGCAAUUGAUCUCGUCUAUGGCAGAGAGUAUUGCAUUGAUAUGUUUGGUAAAUUUU